AAAGCUUGGAGCUGUUGAUGAAGAAAAAGACUUUUCAUUUGAUUCUCUCUCCUAUGCUUCGCCCAAUACUUUUGCGCCGUCCAAUUCCCGGAAUCUUCAAGUUUGGCCGAAGUAUCUCCGCUUCCACAUCCUAUUUUUCUGAGGACGACGACGAUGAUCUUCCGUUUUCACCCAUCUCCGCACCUCUGCAAAGAAACAAGGAUAAGUGCAAAAAGAAGAAGAAGAAUAAGAAGACAAACGAGGUGGUGAAGACCAAAGAUAACCAGGGAAAUGCGUUUCCAUUGAAAUCAGAUUUACCCUUUGAUUUCCGGUACUCGUAUUCAGAGACUAAUCCCUCUAUCCAGCCAAUUGGGUUCCGCGAGCCCCCAAGAUUCUCUCCUUUCGGACCGGGAAGACUGGACCGCAUAUGGACCGGCACUUGUGCUCCAGCCGAUCAAGAAGUUGAUUUGGGGAAGCUACAGCAGGAGAAGCGAAAUGCAAUUCUUGGAGAGCCUCUCACGGAAGAAGAGGCGGCGGAACUUGUCGAACAGUAUCGUCACAGUGACUGCGGCCGGCAGAUUAAUUUGGGGAAAGGAGGGGUUACUCAUAACAUGAUUGAUGACAUCCAUAACCAUUGGAAAAGAGCUGAAGCUGUGAGGAUCAAGUGUCUUGGAGUGCCUACACUUGACAUGGACAAUGUUUGCCAACACCUUGAGGAAAAAUCUAGUGGGAAAGUAUUCUACCGCCAUAUAAACAUCCUUCUUCUAUAUAGGGGAAGAAAUUAUGAUCCUGAUAAAAGACCUGUCAUUCCAUUGAUGUUAUGGAAACCACGGCCACCUAUAUAUCCAAGGCUUGUGAAGAAUGUUGCUGAUGGUCUCACUUUUGAAGAAACUAAAGAAAUGAGGAACAGAGGAUUGAAUUCUUCUCCUCUGAUGAAACUUUCUAGGAAUGGUGUUUAUGUGAAUGUUGUGGACAGAGUUAGGGAGGCUUUUCAAACUGAAGAAGUCGUGAGGCUAGACUGCUCUCAUGUCGGUUUAAGUGAUUGUAAGCAAAUUGGUGUCAAAUUAAGGGAUUUAGUACCAUGUGUGCCUAUCUUGUUUAAGGAUGAGCAGAUAAUACUUUGGAGAGGAAAGAAUGAUGAAGAACCAGAUUGUACAACACUCACAGAUCCUAUGAGUCUGAACUGUAAUCUUAUUUAAGUUGCUGAAUUCUCAACCGAUGGCGUUUCCAAGUUUGUGUUUGAGUUGUCAUAUGUUUCAAGUUGCUGAAAUCUGAUUGUUGAGAAUUUGUUGAGAGUGAUGGGUGAUUUUUGAAAUGACAUUGAAGCGGGAAGGACUAAAGCUGCAUGAAUGGCUUUACCCGUAUCAUAUCUCAUGUAGCCUUUCCUUAUUCGUAAUCUGAGUGGCGCUCAUAUAAUGUUGGAUGAGGAAUACAAUUCAAUGUUGGUUGAUUGUGGCUUGAUAACUGGUGGAAUUUUUCCAAAUCGGCCAAAAGAUAUACAUACAGUUAGAGCAAGUUGGGGAUGUCAUGUAAAAGUGGAACCAACUUAAAACAAUGAUAUACUACUUUGUUUUUGAUAAAAAAAAAUAAAAAAAAUUCUCCUAGUGAUCCUUUGACUUGUAGCAUAUAUGGGUGACAGUUGUUCAUUGUAGUUACUUUUCUGAUGAUUCAAUCUCUAUGGUGAUAAUUAUGGAGACAUGAUAGUGUAUGUAUCUUUCUUUUAGAGAAAUUUAUAUACUAAUUAA